rnacentral:lncRNA from 1 species
ACAAGUUGAAGGUAACAGAACAGCCGGCUUGGCGCACCGAACAGCCGACCAUCUUCAGAGUCUUACCACACUUGCGAGGGAUCGAACCAAAGGCAUACGAGCCAACGAUCGUUUCGCUCGGCCCCUUCCACCACCACAAGUCUCACCUGAAAGCCAUGGACCACCUGAAAUACAAGUAUCUCAGCAAAUUCCUUGGCCGAAACCCCGAGAAGCCCCUGGAAGACUACCUCAAGUUGAUCAAGGAGAACGAGCGGCAAGCACGUAUGGCCUACUCAGAAGAAGUGGAAAUGAGUAGCGAUGACUUCGUCCAAAUGAUGCUGCUUGACUGCUGUUUUGUAAUUGAGACCAUAUUGCCAGAGGAAGAAGGACAAGCCACAAUAUGGUCGCUAUCACCGGUGUUGGUGCGUGAUAUGUUGAUUCUGGAAAACCAACUCCCUUUCUGUAUCCUCCAGCCUCUGUUCGACUCUACUUUUCUUCGCCAAUCCCUUGACCUCAGUAGUUUGAUACUUGGUUUCCUCAGCAAGGCCGUAAGCAUCAGGACGGAAAAUCCCUCCGGCAAAAAUUNNNNNNNNNNNNNNNNNNNNNNNNNNNNNNNNNNNNNNNNNNNNNNNNNNNNNNNNNNNNNNNNNNNNNNNNNNNNNNNNNNNNNNGUACUAGAGAAGCCUCAAGAACACAAAAGUAUAAUGACAAAUCUGUCAACUUUUGUUAAUUGGUCAGGAGACUUUUGUGUUAUGAAAUCUGAUGAAGUAUUAUUUAUGUAAUAUGGAUAAGAAGAUGGGGAAAGUAAUCAUCAUGAUUUGGCCAUUCUCGCAAAAGAUUAACAAGCUUUAGAAAUAUUUGGAAGCAUUAAGCUGCUUACUGCCACUCAAUGGAUCAACAAACUUUCUCCUCUUCCUUGUCAGACUUCGUUUAUAAACCUAAAAAGAAAGAGAAAAAUAUAAAUCCGUACAAACUAUGGGAUCUAUAAGACUUCAUUUAUUCUCCUGGCUCACUCGUCUUUUAAACACAAAUCUACUUGACUAUUGGAUAUAUUAUGUUCGAAAAUAUUUAUGUGUAUGAGGUAAAGAAAAAUAGACCAAAAGAAUAGUUUUAUAUCAUUAAUAAUUGAAAAAGUCCGAUUACCUAUUUUGGAUUUGGUUCACAAUAAAAAAAACUUAGAAUUUUAAUUAUUUUGAUGUUAAAUCUGUUAUUUGUUAACCCUAAUCAAUUUGAUAUAUUUUAAUCAUCUUAUUUUUCUGACUUUGUCUUGCCAGAGGAAGUAAUAUAAGUGUCUACUGCGUUGAAGAAAAGAAAAAUAAGAAACGGAGUCACAGAAAUGAUUAUUGAGAAAAGGUGAGCGAAUGAUGGAAGAUAACUAUUAAAAUAUUAUAUUUCUCUCCAUACAAUUAAUUAUAUGAUGUGAAUAAUUCUUGAACAAAAUAUUUUGUGUCAUACACAAUUAUUUAAGGAUAGCUCUUUUAUCAAGGCGUCCCAUUCAUUUUUUAUUUUCUUUCAUAUAUAUAUAUAUAUAUAUAUAUAUAUUUUUCAAUGAACAUAAUUAAUUAAAUUUGUUUUCCUGCGACCUCUUCUUAAGGCAUUGCACAUUUUACGUCGGCAAUUUCGUAUUGACAAAUCUCAUUUCUUAAGCUUAUCAUUACCCAAAGAAAGUCUUGACCAGGAAAAAAUAACAAUAAUACAAAUCCUGCACACUAUUUCUCUUCCAUGUAUAAAUAAUCUCGCUCAAGGAGUUCAUUCGUGACUCCUAAUCAUCGACACAUUACAAUCCUCUGCAGGGCUCAUCUCAUACUAAUUCCCAACCGUGUUAAAGCUGCUCAUAUGAACGGAAACGCAAAUUAGUUUCUUAAUUAAGGCAAAGGAAGCAGCAACUAAUCAUAAUUUCUGUAUCACAAGCGUAAUUAGGAAAAAAAUCAAAUAGUAACUUCUUUUCAUCAAAAUCGUACAAAUAAUUAUCCCAUCUUUUCAUACAAUUUUGUAAAAAUAUUCUUUUUCAGCAUGAAAUGGGAUUUCAUGCCAACUGAUAUGGGUGGCAUAGAGGAGAUGUUGCUGCAUGAGAUUGAACAGGAGACGAUGUAGCAUUUUAAUUGUCUUCCGACUGUCAUGUGGAUCUGCACUUUAAAUUAUAAGUGAGCCACACAAUGCUUACAAUUCCUGGGAAAAUAAAUGGAAUAUAUUAGCUUAUAACUUCGGCAUUCCAAAGUUUGUGAGAGUUGUUGCUUUUCUUUUCUUUUUCCCUUUAACUUUUUCAUAGUAGAAGCAACCUAUUAAUUCGACAUGCUAAGGCCGAGGACAGGAUAAAGUUGGUCGAUCCAUUGAGUGGGAUGGAAGCAGCAUAUAUUCUCUAAAGUUUGUUUCGAGUUAAUACCUGGCUAAAUGCCAAUUGAUGAUGAUAUGCUAAUAUAGUCUAUAACACAAAGCAGCAACUGAUAUAUUUAUAUGACUAUAUUAUGAAUUAUGUGAAUUUGGACUUCCCUAGCUAGCUAGUGCACCUAACUUCUUUGUAAUCUACCAUUAUAAAUACGUACAUAACAAAAAUUUAAGAUAUGAAUUGUCUAUUAUUAGCAGGUGUCCUUACCGUCUUCCCCUUGUGCUUCGUCAAUCAUUUCUUGAACUCCCUUUCCCGCACACUGAUAAUUUACCCUUUGGGAUCCACCUGCGCGGUCUUUUGGUAGACAAAAGUGUGGCUUAGUAUGUUGGAAGUUUCCUUGGGUGGCCCCUCGCACAAGAAAGCUAUCAACUGUAUAAAUAAAGAGCUCAGGAGGCAAUGUAUCGAUGCCUUCACCAUCCCCGGAGACCGCAGCCCGCCCCCCCCCCCCCACCUCAUAUGCAAACCCAGAGUAAAAGGUAUUAGCUUUUAGAACCUAUCUCUUUUGUAUCACAUCUCUAUCUUAGCUUUUUCUCUAUAUGCAAACAUUUCUCAUUUGCUUAAUGUUGUUUUAAUCAGCAUUUUAGUGUACUUUUCUAUUGUAAGCAUAAAAAAAAACUAUUAUGUGGAAUAAUGUCAUAUCAAAAUCGAAAUCAAAUAAACCAAAUAUUAGAUUUAUGUAUCUUUCAAUGUGACGAUAGAAUACCUUAGUCUGACCUAAUAAUUGACCAUAGUUCGAAACAAUAAUAGCAUUGAUCUAUAACAAGGAAACUAGAUUCUCAUUUUCUUCUCUUCCUAUUUAUUGUUAAUCAAUGAGUAGGGAUUAAUAGGAAAACGAGAAUAGAUCUAUGAUUAUAAUUUAAUCACUAUGAGAUCACAUAUAUAUAUAUAUAUAUAGGCGACAAUAGAGAGUUUAAGAAAGGUAAUUAGGAGAGUUCUUCCUAUUAACAUCAUCUCCUAAAAAAUCAUAACUUAAGUGAACUUCUCUUUGUCCAAUUAACUAGUAAGAUAUAAAAUAAUAGGGUCCAAAAUUAAAAUAAAUAAACUAAAAUUUAUUUAAGAUAAUUUUACCUAAUUUGAUUUUGAAAUUUUGAAAGGCACCUUAUACUUACACAUAAACUUUAUAUAAAAUAGACUAAUAAAUCUAAUAAAUAUAAUAAUACUAUAUUAAGUCCAACUACCAAUGUGAAUCAUAGUGGUUAUACAUUAUCAAUGUUAUACUCUCUUUUUUUGUACCAUAAUACUGUUAAUCUUUCCUAAUGUAGUCCAUAAUGAUCUUUAUAAUUUAUCUUAUCAAGAUAAUUCUAAUAUCAUACUUAACCAUAAUAUACAUAUAUGUAAAUAUAGAACAAUAGAAACAAAUAAUUUUAAGUAAGUAAAAAAAAAAAUCAAUAAUAAUAUCCAUUGAAACAUGUAUCAUCGUAUCUUUUAUAUGUUGCUCAACUGAUUUAUUUGAUCAAUUAUGCUUCAAUAUUUUUUAUUAUUACCUACUCCUUAAGUAGUAUCCAAAAUAUUAUAAAACCUUUCUUGUUUUAAUCUAGUUCUUUAAAUACAUAUAUUAGUAAGCUUAUUUAUGUUUUAUUAAUUUUUAAUUUUAUUAUAAUAAAUUUUAAAUAAACUAAGCAAAGAAGAAAUAGAAUUAAGCAUAAAUUAUAUAAGAAAUGACAACUACAUUUAUGCCUAAUAUUCUUGAGCUUUGUAGUUUUAUCGGUCAUAAUGAAGAUAUAAUCUUGAAUUUCUUAAAUAUUAUCAUAUAGAGCUAUAGUCAGUCCUUUCAUUAAAAUAUUAACUAAUAAUUUAUAAAUAAAUUUAAAAUUAAUCUUUAAAUAUUUCAAUAUGCUAAUUGUAGAUGAUAAUAAAGUCUAAAUAUUAUUAGUAGUUGUCAUAAAAUUGAGCCUAUUAGACCAUAUCCAAUUAUCUAUUUUAAUUAUUUAGUCUAUAAAACUUUUAGUAGUUAAGUUUGUAAUCCUUUUAAUAAGUUUGAUCAAAAUAUAUAACACCUAAUGUAAAUUACAUAUGCUCAAGUCAUUUAAAAUAAUUUGAUCUAGAGAUUAUAGGGACAUCAAAUGCAUGAGAAUGCAAAAAGGGAAGUACCAUGGUAACAAAUGAAAAAAAUAAUUUAAUAUUUUAAAUUUUCAAAAACAUGAUGAAUUAUUAAUAUAAUCUCAAAUUCACUUUUGGGUGAAAUAUUAACAUAUGUAAUGUUCACUUAAAUUUUAUAAUGAUGGAGGACUAAUAUUAUUUUUGUGAAACAAUAUUAUUAUCUUUGGGUAUACAACUUUAAACUACAAAGAUAUCUAAAAUAAUAUUAUCCUACCUAUCACAUAAUUAUUUAAAAUAAAUUCAUCUUUAAUUUUAUAUAAAUCUCUUGAUUAUGUAUUAUUAUAAAUAAUAUUAUUUUUAAUACCAUAUAAGACUAAUUAUUUGAUGUAAUUUUUAUUAAUCUGGGCCACUUUAAUGAUGGUAAGACUAAUACAUAAAUAUAAAUUAUAUUUUAAAUAUCCUGUAAAUAAUAAAAUAUUUAUUAUAAUUUAUACGCCAUAAAUCUAUCAUCGUUACUUUGGUAGUUAUAAGUCAAUAAAACUCAAGAAUAUAAGUUACAAAUAAUAUUAUCUUCUUUAACUAAAUUAUGUAUAAACUAUUCAAUAAAAAAUAAUUAUAAUAAGUUUUGAAUAUAAACUUUAAUCAGCAUAAUAAAACAAAAACUCAAUAAAAUAAAAUUCAUGUAUUCAUGUGAAAAUAACAUUAUUUCAAAACAACAAAUGCUUGUAAAUUACCACAUGAAUAUCAAAAAGAAAAAAUUUAAGUACCAUAAGCAACAAAAAUUUUACUAAUAUGUCAUAUGAGAAAACUAUAAAAAAAUCUAAAAUUUAUAUUUUUUAAAUUAUAUAUAUAACCUUACACUAGGCCAAUAAACACUAUUUAAUUGGGUAACAUAGGUUGACCCACAACUAAUUGGGUAGUUUAAAAUUGGACCACCCAAAUUAGACUCAAUAACUACUCCAAUCAAUCACAAUAAUUAAAAUUGUGCAUGGCUAGUCCAAAUAGGGUUCAGUCAAAAUUAGGGUUGAUCACGAUCAAAAUUUAGAUUCGAUCAAAAUUAGAGCUUCAAAUCAUAAGUAAAAUCUAUAUUUGACUUAGGUCAAUAUAAAGCAUUGAUCAAGAUAAAAAUUGGAUCAAAAAUAGAUUUUGACUUAGGUCAAAAUUAAAGUCACGUCAAAAUCAUAUUUGGGGCAAGAUUUUCUUAAGCUUGAGUUUGACCAAAAUCCUCUAACCUACAAACCUUGACUACCCCGUGCUACCUCCACUCAACACACUUGCACUCACGUCCAUCGCUAGGACACUAGGUGGCGCAAUUUGACCAGCCCCCCCUUUUUUUUUUGCCAUGAUCAACUCCACCAUUGCUUGUACCCAGGCGACCGUUAGCAACAUGGCCUAUGGUGUUGCAUUGCGAUGUUCGAUGUCGCACUGUCACUUGUAGCCCAUAGGCCUCAUCAUCGAAUUGACAGUCUUGUGGUUGCCAGCAGCGCCAAUGUUUGUCGCUGACACUACUAUUAAUGUGGUGCUUAUCGACGCCAAGUCGCAAUCGUGAUUCCGACUUGCGGUUGGCAACCCCUACGUGCGAGAUGUUUCAUUGUGACUUCCUUGUUGUGGCACUUUUGCUACGUGGACACUAGUUGCAACCCGCGACCAAUAUGACCACUUAUUAGCGGUCACCUACUUACCGCAGAACCCUUGACAUCGCAGUGCUCCUAUGCCAUCACACAUAGCAACGUCGCAUAGUAUUGUUUGUCGCCAAAAGCUCCUAACAUUCGUGGAUACUUUCUAUAGGUACAAUCAGACUAAAAUGACACAAGACAAAAAUAUAUUACCUUCGUUAUUGACAAAGGCCUAUGCUAUUAUAAAAUCAUAUCAUUUGGACUCGAGAAUAUUGAGAAAAUAUACCUAAUAAGAUAUUCCAACAUCAAAGAGGUCUAUACGAAAUGUUAGUAAAGAGUCACAUCACAAAUACUCACCUAUCCAACCUAAGAGAAACAUUUAUCAUCAUUAAGAAAUUCUAGAUAUGACGAAAUCUGGCUAAGUGCAUAUUUAUUAUAAGUUUAAGAAAAUUCAAAGAAAGUCUAGCCAUUAUCAAUAUAAGGUCUUUGGAUUUAAUCAAAAAGGUUCAAUAGCUGAUAAAUUGAAUUAUUGUGCUUAGUCAGUUCUUGUCCUGAACCGGUGAUCAAUAUUUAUCAUUCUUUAAAAUUCUAAAUGAUUUUCGAUAGACUGAGCAAUGUCAAGGCAUUUGAUCGGCUCAAGACCUAUCUGGCAGCUCUACCUCAACUUUUCAGUCCCCACCUAGGAGAAGACCUAUACCUAUAUCUAUUUGUAAUGCUAGUAGCCAGAAGACCUAUACCUUUAUCUAUUUGUAAUGCUAGUAGCCAUAAGUUAGUGUUGAUUCGAGAGGAAGACCUAUAUAUUGCACCAAUCAUGUACUUCAAGAUGCUAAAACCUGAUAUCUCAAUUUUGAAAAACUACCCUAUAGGCUUAUUUUAGUAACCAAGAAGCUCUGCCACUACUAAACUCAUCAUAUUAUUAUCAUGAUAUUCCAACCGAUGCUCCAAAUCUUUUUCAAACCUAAUAUUAUUAAGAGGCUUCUUAAAUGGGUAGUAAAGCUUAGCAAGUUUAAGCUUUGGAUCUGGUUUGUGAUUCUACCAGUUAAGAAUCAUUAUUAAGGCUUAAGCCCUUAUUAAUUAGAUCAACAAUAUAUAUGAGGCCUGUGAUUCUACCAUGGUUCUAUAUCUUACAGAACUAAAACAGGUGAUAGUUGACAUCCCGAUGUUUAGCAUCAGGUAAAUCCCAAAAGGGACAACAUAGCAAUUGAUGCACUCUCCUGACCACCCACUAAGGAUUGCUUUGAAGCAACAAAAGGGAUCAUCACAAAGAUUUUAACUCAAAUAAGUGUUUACAAGGGUCAAGUAACAAUCACAUAUGUAGAAAUAACUUAGAUGGGGAACAUUAUGAAAUAUCUUAAAACUAGAGUUCUCACCGAUGAAUCGAUCGAAGCAAAAAGGGUGCAUAGACAAUAAGCAUGGUAUUGUAUUUUUGAUGUUGUUCUCUUCAUACGAUCCUUGUAAUAUCCCCUCCUAUAUUGUCUCUAUCUUACUAAAGCAUCUUGUUUAUUAUCUUAGGUCCAUUACGGUGUAUGCAGAGAAUACAUUGGUGCAAGGACUCUAGCAUUCAAGGUUUUAUGACCGGGUAUUAUUGAUUGACCCUUAGGAAAGAUGUCGAUGAGUACAUUUGAUGUUAUGAUAAAUAUUAAUGCAAUGCUUGAGUCCAAAGAUUACCUGUGGUAGAACUAACCACGAUUGAUGCAGCUUAGCUUUUUGUAUAGUGGGGGUUGGAUAUUUUUGAGCUUUUUCCACCUAUCAUAGGCCAAAGAAAAUAUCUGGUAGUUAGGGUAUAUUACUUCACUAAAAAUGAGUAGAGGACAAGCCUUUGGCAUCGAUUUCAGAAGGGUAGGUUGAGUUGUUCAUCCGAAGGAACAUCAUUUCUCAGUUUAGAGUUACGUGGACAUAAAUAACUAAUGAUGGAACACAAUUCAAUAAUUCUAAGUUCAAAAAAAAUUUAUGACUACUUCAGAAUUCAUUUAAGAUUUAACUUGGUGGCUCACCCAUGCGCCAAUAGCUAGGCUGAGGUCACCAAUCUAACUAUACUUAGAGCUUAAAGAAAAGACUCUCUAAAACCAAACAAAUAUGGAUGGAUAAACUUUUGAGUAUUUUAUAGAGCUACCAAACUCUAACCGGAGUUUAUACUAAAGAAUCACCUUUCUACUUAGCCUGUGGGACUGAUGAUAUGCUUCCGACUGAACUAAUUUUGCCAACCACUCAUACCCAACAUUUUUCUCAAGAAGAGUUAGAGGUUGGGAUCAGAGUGAAUAUGAACCUAAUUGAUGAAGUUAGGAUUUGAUCAUACCUCAAAAUCUUAGCUUAUAAGAGGAUGGUUGCUAAGACCUUCAAUGCUAAAGUUCGCCCUUAUUGACUAAAAAAUGAAGACUUAGUUUUGAGGAAAGUUGAAGUUAGCAACCAAACUCAUACAAAGAGUAGGUUGGCAUCAACAUGGAAAGUACUAUAUUGAAUCAUGAAAAAAGUUCAACUUAGAACUUACUGACUCUAGACUCUCAGUGGGUCGAACCUUCCAAGAACUUGACAUCAUCUUCGGGAGUCCUUAUAUUUCAAAAUGGAUUUCCUGACUAAAAAAUAAAAGAUAAAAAUGAAAGACAAAAUAAAAAGAAGAUAGGCCAACCUGAUCACCCUUCUAAAAUUUUAACAACUUCAUCCUCGGGGAUUAGGUCAGGAGCUGGUGUGUCGAUCGACUAUAUGUGUUCCUCAAUAGUUGUAUCUAGGGUCGACCUCUUGACUUUAAUCGGAGCCCCCUUCGAGGAUUUUUUUACUAUUAGCAUCCUCUCAACUUUGUUACUAGCCUUAGUCUCUCCUUCUUUAGCAUAUGCUAUUAUCUCACUUCAAUUAUUGAUAUCAUCUGAUCCAACCAUGAUAACUUUAUUGUUGAUGGGACGAUCGAUAGUAAAAUCAUUUGAAAGGACAAGCACGAGUGGCUCAUAAUUCAAAGAUUCCAAAAAAAAUACUAUAAACAGAAAUAACAUGUAAGAAGAUUAAAUCAAGCUUCUUCAAGGCUUUCUAUAAUAUUUUCUACGAAGUUUAAUUUGGGGGAAUAUGUUGGAAUAUUAAAUUAAACUUUGUGACUAGAUAUGAUUUUGGUUUAGGAGUCUUAGUCAAAAUAAGAAUUAUUACCAAAAUCAAAGUUUUGAGUUUAUCUUUAAAUAAAGGACUUGUGUAGUAGUACUUUAGGAGUACAAUUGGGAGAAGAGACGAAGAGGGGUUUGUGAGAUUAUAAGUUACUCUGUUUAAUGUGAGUUUCUAAUUGGCAUAUCUUCUUUAUUCACCUGUAUCGUCUCUCAAUUAUGAAUUCUUGAUUUCGAUCACCUUUUUUGAGUCUUUCAACAUGGUAUCAUAACUUUUUGGUUUCUAACAGAUCAGAGUUGGGAAACUACACUAAAAUAUGUUGUACUUAGACUUCAAAAGGUUAGAACUCAAUGCAUCGAAUGUUGUACUUAGACUUGCAAACUACACUAAAAUAUGUUCCUUUAGUUCCAUCUUUUUUUCUUUUUUUGAGGCCACAGGACAUUGAAUAUGUAAGUGGCUUAUAUAUCCAAGUUACGUUUAGCAAUAUGAAUCACUUUGUCUCUGUUCUUUUCAAAGAGUAAGAGUUGAAAACGAGAUUCCAUAAUCUUACUUUCAAAUCUUUAGUCAACUCACUUCACGCUUUGGCGCAAAAACACAGUCAUGUGUGACGCAGGGAUGAAAGUUGAGAUAGAUGUGGAUAAGGCAUGGAUGGACACCUUGAGGAGGAAGGUGGAAGAGGCAAAAUGGGACCAGUGGCGCACCGAACAGGCAAGAAUCUUUAAAGUCCCAGGAGUCUUGCAGGAGGCCGAACCCAGGGCCUACAAGCCAAGAAUCGUCUCCCUCGGCCCAUACCACCAUGGCAAAUCUGAACUGCAACCCAUGGAGGAGUUAAAAUGGAACUACCUCAGGAGAUUCGUUCGCCGACAACCCCAGAAGAAACUGGAGGAUUACCUCAACGAGACUCGAGAGUUGGUAAACCGAUCACGUCGUUUCUACUUUGGCGACAAAGUGAACCCGAAUGAAAGCUCCAUGAUAAUGAGUGACAAUAAAUUCGUAGAAAUGAUGCUGCUCGACGGUUCUUUUGUGAUUGAGAUCAUGAUAUCCUGGGUAAAGGGUGUGAGUGAACGCAAAGUCGGACAGAAUGCGAUCAAGAAUACAAUAUGGUCGCCGUUAGCAGUAGCGCAAGACAUGUUGCUGCUGGAAAACCAGCUCCCUUUCUUUCUCCUCGAUUGUUUACAUGACACUGCUUUUCCUGAAGAUGCUGGCGGCCUAACAGAGCUGACACAAGAAUUUCUACGCAUGUUCAUCAUGUUCAUGAACGACAACGAGAGAGUCCCCCGCCAUGGUUUCCAUCAUAUUCUUCAUCUAUGUCAUUUUUGCAUUGUCGCAGCAAAGAAGCCAUAUAACAGCAAAACCCAGCCAUCAUGGAGCCUCAUGUUUGAAGGAAUGCAGAAGGAGCGGAUGAACAUGUUAAGCUUUUUUCGUGACAACCCGGUUCCGGUCGAACAACCAGCUUCCAUGAUACCAUGGAUUCCAAGCGCGACACAGCUCAAGGUGGCGGGAAUCCAGUUCAAGAUGAAGACACGGGCCAAGAGCUUCCUGGACAUCACAUUCCAGAAUGGAAAGCUGGAGAUCCCUCAGCUUGUGGUCGAUGACCAAACCAACGUGCUGUUCAAGAACCUCAUAGCCUUCGAGCAGUGCUCCCAGGACGCUGGAACGCAUCUUGCGGCCUACGCGUCACUCAUGGAUUCAAUCAUCAAUACUGCUGCCGACGUCGAAUUGCUCCAGAAAGAUCAAAUCAUCAUCAACACAUCGGGCGACAACACCGAAGUCGCCAAUUUCUUCAACAAGCUUUGCAAAGAUGUGCUGAUCAAAGACGAGGACUAUCUUACAAGCAUCUACAGAGAUGUCAAUAAGCACCGCGGCAUCAAAUAUCACAUAUGGUGGCGAACUCUACAUCGUGAUUACUUCAAGAACCCGUGGACGAUCAUCUGGUUGUGUGCAGCCAUUUUCGCCUUCAUUCUCACCAUUACGCAGACCGUGUAUACGGUCCUGAGCUAUAUUCGACCACCUAAAUAAUCUCCUCGCCUACUUGGUACCAUCAUAUGUUUCUUCUCGUCGUCACUCUUCCAUGAUCUCAUCUCUUCAAACUAUUAUCAAUUGUUGGAAUUAAACUAAUCAAUUUUUCCAAAGCAUCAUGAUGUUUAUUGUAUCGAGAGAUAACACAUUAAAGAUCCUAUUAUAAAAGAAUGAACCAAAUUGAUUAUUGAUUCUUAAAACAAGAAAAGAGCCUUAGAAAAAAAAAAGAUCCAAAUUAAAUAUAAUAAAUAUAAUGUAUUCAAAGGGACUAAAUAAACUCAAUGUGUUAGGUCAUAAAAGAUAGAGUUUUGAAGUUGUAGUGAAUUUCCUUUGAGUGAAACAAACAAAGAAUCCUUUGAGUGAUAAUUCUAUCUCUUCUUUUUAUCUAUUUCAAUAUCAAUAACCACAUAAUAGAUUCUCAUCAUGGAAUCAUUGUUGUUUUUGUUUCCUCAAUGAAAGGUAGGGCUUGUUUUUAUUGCAUUUGAUAGUCAUAUAUUGCCUAAACAAUCUCAUUUAAAGAUUAAUAAUGAAAAAUUAAUGUACGGCUUGUUUUUUUGGGGUUGUAUAUUGUCAUUUGUCUUAUGAUCCUGUUGAAAAAUGUUCAUGUAGCAUUGAUAGGAAUGAGAUAAAGAUUAAUAAUCUGGAUAGAUUAUAAGCAGGUUAAACAAAUAUUUAUGUUAAAAAUUGAUUCAUAGAUUGUAAUACCCUAAAGGUUUUUCUUGUAAGAAUACAAGACCAUAACCAGAAUAAAUAACUUCAACAGAAUAAUUAUUAUAUAAUUCAAUCCAAAAUUCAAACCACCCACAGGGCAUUUCACUAAAUUCAACAACUCUUUUAUAAUUCAUAAUAUAUACAUAUAUAUACAUAUACAUGUAUAUACAUAUAUAUGUAUAUACAUACAUAUAUAUAUAUAUAUAUAUACAUAUACAUAUAUAUAUAUAUAUACAUAUACAUAUAUAUAUACAUAUAUAUAUAUACAUAUACAUAUACAUAUACAUAUAUAUACAUNNNNNNNNNNNNNNNNNNNNNNNNNNNNNNNNNNNNNNNNNNNNNNNNNNNNNNNNNNNNNNNNNNNNNNNNNNNNNNNNNNNNNNNNNNNNNNNNNNNNNNNNNNNNNNNNNNNNNNNNNNNNNNNNNNNNNNNNNNNNNNNNNNNNNNNNNNNNNNNNNNNNNNNNNNNNNNNNNNNNNNNNNNNNNNNNNNNNNNNNNNNNNNNNNNNNNNNNNNNNNNNNNNNNNNNNNNNNNNNNNNNNNNNNNNNNNNNNNNNNNNNNNNNNNNAUAUAUAUAUAUAUAUAUAUAUAUAUACAUAUAUAUAUAUAUAUACAUAUAUGCAAUAGUGUCCAAGACUCUUAAUUGUCUUUGGAUCUAUAAUCACAAAUGAGCUACUCCUCAUCUAAACAAUUAAAAGAUAAUUAUAUGAGCAACCACAAUUUAAUAAGCACCGUGACUCAGAUUUAUCAUAAAUAAGUAUUUUCUUUAAAACACAUGAAUUCUUUAUACAUUUAAUACAUACUUUCGAAAUAUAAUAUCAAAUACUUUUUUCAUGCUUAUAAAAUUUACAAAGACAUAACAUUUACAUGCAUUUCAAAUCACAUAACAUGCUUACGAUACUUUUCAUAACAACUAAGCUUUAAAUGUAUUUUUAUAAUGGAAGCAUAGACAUAACUUAUGUCACAUCAAUUUUGAUGUGAUUUUUCUUUUCUUAUUUUUUAAUAUAACCAUUAUUCCUUCUUUUAUUUCUUUCAUAGUGUAAAUAUCAAAUUAACUAAGAACAUCAAAAUCAAUAUCUAUUGUCAUAUACAUUAAUCAAAAUGGUAUAAAUGUAAGAGAACUCAAAAUCAUACCUAAUAUAAUGUUCUUGCGCUUGAUCUGAAUUCAUAUGAUAUUAAACUGAAUCCCCAAUAUAUGUUCUUUAAUUUUCUUCCUUUUCUUUUUCUUUCUUCUCUCUACAUAGAAUAUCAAUUGUUAAUUAAUGCAAAGUGAUAAGAUAAAAUAAUAAAGAUGAUAAGAUGUUGCAAGCGGUUGCAAUCUCUCACACAUUACAAUCCUCUGCAGGGCUCAUCUCAUACGAAUUCCCAACCGUGUUAAAGCUACUCAUAUGAACGAAAACGCAUAUUAGUUUCUUAAUUAAGGCAAAGGAAGCAGCAACUAAUCAUAAUUUUUUUUAUCACAAGCGCAAUUAGGAAAAAGAUCAAAUAGUAACUUCUUUUCAUCAAAAUCGUACAAAUAAUUUUCCCAUCUUUUCAUACAAUUUUAUAACAAUAUUCUUUUUCAGCAAGAAAUGGGAUUUCAUGCCAACUGAAACGGGUGGCAUAGAGGAGAUGUUGCCGCAUGAGAUUGAACAGGACACAAUGUAGCAUUUUAAUUGUCUUCCAACUGUCAUGUGGAUCUGCAACUUAAAUUAUAAGUGAGCCACACAAGGCAUACAAUUCCUGGGAACAUAAAUGGAAUAUAUUAGAUUGUAACUUUGGCAUUCCCAAGUUUGUGAGAGUUGUUGCUUUUCUUUUCUUUUUCUUUUUCUCUUUUCCUUUUUCAUAGUAGAAGCAACCUGUUAAUUCGACAUGCUAAGGCCGAGGACAGGAUAAAGUUGGUCGAUCCAUUGAGUGGGAUGGAAGCAGCAUAUAUUCUCUAUAGUUUGUUUCUAGUUAAUACCUGACUAAAUGCCAAUUGAUAAAGAUAUGGUAAAUCUAGUCUAUAACACAGCAGCAACUAAUAUAUUUAUGUGACUAUAUUAUAUAUUAUGAAUUAUGUGAAUUUGGACUUCCCUAGCUAGUGCACAUAACUUCUUUGUAAUCUACCAUUAUAAAUACAAAUACGUACGUAAAAAAAAUAUCACAAGGCGAUUAGCCGAAGAGACGGAGCAAGCUGUAAAGUGAUACAAGAGUCGAGUCUUUUGAUAGACAAAAGUGUGGCUUAGUACGUAGGAUGUUUCCUUGGGUGGCCCCUCGCACAAGAAAGCUACCAACUGUAUAAAUAUAGAGUUCAGGGGGCAAGGUAUCGAUGUCUUCACCAUUCCCCCACUCCCAAACACUUACUCCAGUCUAUAUAGCGCACAUGAUUCACGGUAAGCAAAACAACUUAGCUUUUAGAACCCAUCUCUUUUGUGUCACAUCUCUAUCUUAGCUUUUUCUCUACAUGCAAACAUUUCUCAUUUAUUGAUGUUGUUUUAAUCAGCAUUUUAGUAUGUUUUUUAUUGGCAUAAAAAUACACAGUUAUGUGGACUAACAUAAUGUCAAAAUCAAAAUAAAAAAACAUAGAUUAGGUUUAUGUACCUCAAAGAACAUAGUUUAUGUACCUUAUGCUUAUGAUACAAUACCUUUGUUUGAUCUAGCAACUCAUUGUAGUCAGAUUUGUAUGAAACAACAGCAUUGAUUUGCAAGAAGGAAAAUAGACAUUUAUUCUUUAUCUCUUUUCAUCUUUUAUAAGACCAUGAUAUUGAUGGAAGAAUAAGGAUUAAUAAGAAUAUGAGAAUAAAUCUAUGAUCUAUAAUCUAAUCUCUCAUAAGUUCUAUAUAUAUACAAGCGAGAACAAAGGAUCUAGAUAGAUAAUUAAGAGAGUUUCUCCCAUCAAAUCAUAUCCCAAGAAAUCCUAAUAUAAGUGGACUUUCAUUCUAUUAGAAUUUUAAUAUAUCUUAACUAAUUGAAUAAGGGUCAUAUAAUCUAAUAUUUUUCUCACUCGGCCAAUUAACUGAUAAGAUAUAAACAAAAUAAUUCAAAAUCAAAAUUAAUAAAAUAAAAUUUAUUUUAAAAUAAUUUUACCUAAUUGGAUUCUGAAAUUUUAAAAAAUAUUUUAUACGUAUGUAUGAACUUUAUAAAAUAUGCCAAUAAGUCUAAUAUAAAUAAUAAUAUCACAUUUAAUCUGACUAUCAAUGUAAAUCAUAGUGAUUAUAUAUUAUCAAUGUCAUAAUCUCUUUUUUGUAUCACAAUACUAUUAGUCUUUCUUAAUACAAUCUAUAAUAUUUUUAUUAAUUUAUUUCGUCAAUAUAAUCUUGUUAUUAUAUUUAACCAUAAUAUGCAUAUAAAUAAAUAUAAAUAGAAUAACAAAAAUAAAUAACUUUAAGUAUAAAUAAUAAUAAUAAUAAUAAUAAUAAUAAUAAUAAUAAUAAUAAUAUUCACUUAAGUAUGUCAAUUAAUUUUUUAAGUUUCACUAUAUUAGUUGUUAACCCAUUUAGUAUGGUUUUACAAUCUAAGAUUAAAGAGCAUAUUCUUAGAAUAAAGUUAGUAAGUAAUAAAUCUAGUUUUAUUAUCUAAUAUUAUCAUUUGAGUCAUGUUUACUCUUAAAGAUUAAUUUAGAAUUGACUUAUUUAUAAUUAUUAGGUAAUUUGAUAAGUUUUCAAAUAUAAUUUUGGUCUAUUGAUUUAAUUUUUUUUCAUUGCAUCGUAUCACAUUUUCAAAAUCGUUAUUUUCUAUAGCUUUGUGAAAAUAAUAAUAGGUCAUUUGAAUUCUCAUAUUAUAAUAUAAUUUUUAUAGAUAUAUCAUAUAAUUAUUAGAAAUGAUAACAAUUAUAGAUUAAAAAACUAAAUUUCUAUAAUAGGAACAUAUACCAUAUCUACUUAUAGGCCUAAGAUAUUGUAAAAUAAUAUUUGUAUUCCACGAAUAAAAUCAUGUAGCUGAUUAGAUGAUCACUCCUGCUCAUGCCAGUAAACAUUUUGAUAUUUGGAGUAAUUCAUUUUCAUUUCAUCAAUUAAAUUCUCUAAUUUUUAUUUUGUAAACAAAUUAUAGGAAUAGGAUGACACAUUAAAUUAGAAUACGAUUAUCAUCUACUAUCGUAUUCACAUCUAUUUUGUGUUAUUAAAACUUUAAUACUUUAUCAAACCAGACUCAAUCUUAUCAGCUUUUUAUAAAUUAAUUCAAGACAUUUCAAAAGAUAUAAUUUUAAUCUUCACGUUCACAGUACACUAAUGGUAAGUUUUAAAAAUUAAGUCGAUGGAUGAGUGAGAUGUAUAUGCAGAGAAUUAUAUUGAAUCUGUUUAUAUGUAGGUUUUCUGCAUUGUUUUGUUUUGAUCAGAGAUGGUGAGAGCCAGCGUGCGUGCAAUUUAGACUCGCCGUCUCUCUACAAUUAUUGGGUGGAAAUUUUGCCCGCACAUUCAUGAAUGCAAUAAAUCUUGAAAUCCCUCCGUUUCUCUAAAAGAACUAAAACUUCGAAGAGGCCUUAAAAGGUUGGGGGAGAAGAAAGGAGGAAAAAGAAAAGCUGGGGAGUGACUGGAAACAUGAGUACUGCCGGGGAGCAGAUUGAGAUACCUAUAGAUCCAGACUGGGUUGUCUCAUUGAAGAACAAUUUGAAGGUAACAGAACAGGAGGAUUGGCGCACCGAACAGCCGACCAUCUUCAGAGUCUUGCCACACUUGCGAGGGAUCGAUCCAAAGGCAUACGAGCCAACGAUCGUCUCGCUCGGCCCAUUCCACCAUCACGAGUCUCACCUGAAAGCCAUGGACCACCUCAAAUGGCACUAUCUCAACAAAUUCCUUGGCCGAAACCCCGAGAAGCCCCUGGAAGACUACCUCAAGUUGAUCAAGGAGAAAGAGCGGCAAGCACGUAUGGC